CUAAACAUUGUAAUACAAUCUUAAAUUUCACUUAUAAAUUUCUAUCUACAACAAAAUUUAGAUAAAACAGGAAGAAGAAGAGGAAAACAAAAUGUUUGGCUUUUUCCAGAUAUUUCAUAUAUUUUUAGGAUUGGGUUUGGCAAGUGCCAAACAAUGUUAUUACUAUGUAUAUUUGUACAAAUUGGGGUCAAAGUACUGUUCCAACGGCUGCUGUUCUAUAUACAAAUCUAAUCCAUGCUGCGUUUAUUAUUAUUACUCUGGUACUACAUUAUCUAAUGGAGCUUAUUAUGGCAUGGGAGGAGGCGGUCUUGUAUUUAUUUUAUUGGUUGUAGGCUGCUGUUGGUAUUGUUGUAGGUCAAAACAAUCAUAUGGGGGACAAACAGUGGCAACAGUUCAACAAGCCGUGCCUUACGCGCCUUAUACUGUAGCACCUGGAGCGCAUCCCUUUGGAAUGACAAACAACUGUGUUCCAGGAGGAUACAAUGUGCCUAUGUCCAUGGCGCCAAUUAUCAAAAGUAAGAAGAGCUCAUCAUUAUCAUCAUCGAUAGGCAGCGGGUUUUCAAACAUGUUGGAAAUGGGAGGAAAUUCGAGUGAAAUUGGCGAAAGUUUGAAUGAAAUGGGUGAAAGCUUUAGUGAAAUGGCUGAGGAAAUCAUGUAACUAUAAGCUUCAGAUUACAUGAUUAUAAAUUAAAGUAUCCUAAUUUAUGUGUGCAUAGUGUGCAGAUAUGCUGCCUUCUUAUUUAAAAAAAUAACAUCCUUUUUUGUGGGGAACUUUGUAUAAAUGUAAAAGUAGUACAAAAUGAUAUAGUUUGCUUUAUAUAUCAGAAUAAUAAGAUGUUUAACAUUCUUAUCCUUUUUGUGACGCUUUACAUACAAGUCAGAACUCCCUUCAGAAAUCUUUUUAUAAGAUACGUUUCUUACAUUGAAAUAAGUUCCAUAAAUAACAAAUCAAUGAAUCAACAUCAUUCAGCUAAGUUUUGUUUUUCAAGAAGUGUAAGUGCAGGUUUAUAAUUAAAUAUAUUUAAAAGAACUUUUACUUCCUCGACUUUCAAAUAUUCGGCUUUGAGCAUUCCUGAUGAAGGUAAAUCCAGGAAAGCGCUUUGGACGCAAGAAAUUAAAAACGUGUUGUUUUUAUUUCUUUACUGCACUGGGUCGAUACCUCUGCUGGUGGACUAUUAGUCCCCGGGGGUAUCAUCAGCUCAGUAGUCUGUACUGACAUGGUUAAUAACAACCCUUUCUAAAAUUGUCCGUUUAUAAAUUUUAGAAUUAUAAAGAAACUAAAGUUUCAACACAGGUUUCAACUCAGGCAAAGUUGCCCUCAGAAGGAUUUGGCUAUUUUUUAAGUACUUUUUGGUUAGAAAGCUCUUCAACUGUUUCUGUUCUUAUACAUCCUCGGCUUUCAAAUAUUUAGCUUUGAACGUUCCUUAAUAAGGUUAAUCCAGAAAAUCACUUCGGACGCAUCAAAUUAAUAACGUUUUUAUUUUUAACAGCACUGGGUAGAUACCUCUGUUGGUGGACUAUCAGUACCCGAGGGUAUCAUCAGCUCAGUAGGCAGUACUUCGGGACUACGGUACUGACAUGAUCAAUAACAAACCUUUCUAAAAUUGUCCGUUUAUAAAUUUUAGAAUUAUAAAAAAAAUAAUGCAAAGUUGACCUUAGAUGAAUUUGCCUAUUUUUUAAAUACUUUUUGGUUAUAAAGCUCUUCAAAAGUUUCGGUCCUUAUAAAUCAUCGGCUUUCAAAUAUUCGGCUUUUAGCGGUCCUGAUGAAGGUCAAUCCAGAAAAGCGCUUCGGAGGCAUGAAAUUAAUAACGUGUUGUUUUCAUUUUUAUGUUCAUAUGUACAUUGUACAUUCUAUGUUUUAUUCAGGUUUAACAUAAAUGAAAAAUAGGUAUAUGUUUUUAUAUCCCUUUACAUUAAACAAUGUUGUAUUUUUGUGUUAGUUAUAGAACAAUGUAUCCAAUUAUAGCAUGAAUACAAUUGUUUUGAUUUUAUGUAUAACACUUUUUCAAAGAAAAAAACACUACAAAGAACCAAUAAUUUUCUUAAUAUUUGCGAAGAAGGUCUCAUAGUGAUUCCUGUUUAUCUAUAACUCAUAUUUUUGGAUUAUUUCAUCGGUAUUGUCUAGGUUAUACUCUAAAUACACUAAGAUCUAGAUAAAGAUAGAAGACUGUUGAUGUGUACAUUUAAUAAGAUAAUCCGAAUUCUAAUAAUCAUCAAAAUACAACACUUUAAGUUUGAGAUAAUUGUUCACUCCAAUCCGAUUGAUCUUAAAAUUACAUUGCAUUGCAUCAAAGAUGUGUGUGAAGCUGGAGGCGAAAUUCUGAGAAGACUCAUGAUGAAGAUGCAAGAGACGAAAUAUUUAGAAAUUAAUGAACUCCACAUACAUUUUAUACCUCAGUUUUAUAGAACUAAAUAAACAGAGUAUUACUUAUGCAUUAUUGUUAAGUAAACUUUUUUGUUUUUGUUUUUGUUUUUGGCUAUUCAUACACAGUUCACAAAUUUGGGGUAUAGUAUUCAACUUAAAUUCAUCACUAAAGAAUGUUCUAGUCGAUUCAAAAUUGACGCGUUGUACGUUUGAUGAGUUGUUUAAGACAUAUUGCCUUUAACUAAUGAGUUCUAUUCUUUGACUGAUUAUUGGCCUCCGGCUUAUUGAAAUUAUUUUGCCUUCACAUUAAUAUACUUUUCAUCAUUUUUAUGUUUGAAUUGUGCACAUCAGUCAACAUCAUAUUUUUCUUUCAGUUUUUAUCUGUAAUGAUAUUGUUAUUUAAAAUCUUUUUUUAUAAGUAAAGAUGAUGGUUUGACAAUGUGGGGUGAUAUUGCCUAAUAUAUUCUAUAACAAAAUUGAACAUCUUUGGUAUGGUUUAUAUCAUUCAUGGUAAUAGUUUUGGUUAACCGUGUCGUUUUCCUCAGGCAUAUAUGCUAUUCAAUCGGGGCAGUGUCUUCUUUAAUGUAUGUGUUUUAAUACAUGCAGCUGCUAUGAUAAAUCGCUCAGUAACUAGUUUCUGAGAAGGAGCUACGUGAUAACAAAACUAGGCAUGUGCCUUCUGCAAGUCCAGAGUAAAAUAAAAGUAAGAAUAUGGUCAGUUGUCAUGAAUUCUUUAGGAUUUUCCUUUUCACGAAUUUGGUGUUUGGCCUUCAGUGCUCUUUAACUUCAUACUGUAUUUCAUAUUUUUAAACCCCAAGGGUGACUGGGGAAUAGAAGUAUGGUCACCAUUGGUCUUCCUCCGACCGGCAGUAAAACCCGUGCUAAAGUGGGGCGUCCGUUUGGCUGUGCGGGAUGUACAAAUUUGCAGCCACGUCCGGUCAGAAUGGGGACGUUAAAUCCGAUGCCUCGUGUAAAGAGAGUGCCACGCUCUUUGCACGUUAAGAACCCUUGCAACAACUCUUAGAGGGGUCCGUAGGUGACCUGUUGCAAGGCUAAAGUUCUGUCCCUAUCCAAUAUACCCUCAUUUCCCGUGGCAGUCUAAAUUUCUCCGACCUCAAUCCCAGACGCCUAUAUUACAGAACCUACCUAUUGUAUUUAUUGUUAAUUUGUUCUCGUCCUGAAUAUGCAUGAAAUAUUUGCCACUGGACGUUAAGCAACCAACAAUCAAUCAAUCAAUCAUAUUUUUAACGUCUUUUGUAGAAGAAACACGUUUCUGGCGUACAAAACUUUAAGCUUGGUAUCUAUGAUGAGUACAUGCACUCAUAGUUUUUCAAGGCAAGGGUUAUAUGAUUAUAGUCUUAUUUGAUUAUUGAAUGCAGCUAAUUAUAUCGUCAAGAUAAAUUUUCAUUGGAUUCGUGUUAUUCCAUUAGCAUUUAUUCAACAUCUUUUUUGUUUAAGAUAUUCUUACAUUUUCGAGUUUUUAUAAUGUACGUAAUGUAAUUGUAGUCCGAGAUAGUUAAAGGUCACACCAUCUUUUUUUCCUUUAUAUAUAACAUACUAAUUGUGUUUUAUACGGUAAAUAUACAAUUUGAGGCCCUGUAAGCUCAAACAGUAUUGAAAAUCAUGUGUUAAAUCGUUUCUAAAUAUCACGUGAUUACAUGCCAUAUAUGCAAUCUAAUUCAAUUUCAAUCGAUAAUAAAAAUACACGAAAGUGUCCCAGUUGCGUUUUACAAAGAUUUUUUGAAAUGAUAGGAUUUAUGUUAAUUUUUCAGUCUCUUCAUGGUAUGUAUUAAUAAAUAAGAAUGUUAAGAAUGACAAGGUAUGUCAUCAGAGGUAAAAGUAUUUCUGGCUUCUUAUCAAUUUCAGUAUAUAUAUUUUAAUAUAAUGUAUUGGACCUGGCUAAAAAAAGGCAACAAUAAUA